UCUAACGCCGAUGGUGGCGCCCUUCAGCAGUCUUAUGUAUCGAUUCGAUCUAUAGUUAUCGAACUACAAUGCAACAGUCACUUGGAAAUUUAAAGAGAAUUUGAAGGUUUCUUU